CUUCAAGUUGUCUCACCUGUAAAAUGGGGUUAAUGAUACACAGGUGACCUAAAAUACCAGGAAAUAUAUACGUAAAGUUCCUACUUGAUAUAAGGCAAGUGCUCAGAAAGUGGUAGCUAUAUUGUUAACAUAAGGAAAGCCUAGGUAGGGGAAACUAAGCAGGAAACCAAAGGCUGCUCUGAGAAGAAGGAACCGAAAUAGUUCUGACUGGGCUCCACCCACCCGUUAGCAAGUCCGCUCCGGAGCGGGGAGAGGCAGGAAGAGGCCUCUCUGCCCUCCCACAGCCCGAAGCCAGCCCGACCGCCCCGAGACAAAGGCUGAGCUGAGCUGGUACAUGGGGACUGAGAACUGCUGACAGUCCAGGAGAAAGGCAAGCUCAGCUCCACUUCUGGUAAAGAGUUUGCUUUGAUGUGGCUGCUCCAGGUUGAGUUGAUCUUCCAGACUCCAAAGUGGGAGAAAGAUGUUGAGCCUACUCUCAGCAUUCCUUCAAAAUCCACCUGUGAUACCCACCACUCCCAUCCCCCAUAACCAUGCCACUACACAAUAAACACCAUUCUAAGCACUUUAGUACAA